UUGAAAGGGAAACGAUUGAAGUCAGUCGUACCUGUGGGUAAUCAGCCUUUUGGGUGUGAUUNUGUGGAGUGUGAGGAGUUAAACGCCUUCAUGCCUGCAUAUUCGUGCACUUUGGGUGUAUUUACCCGUGUGGUAAGUUAACAUCAAUUUCGGUGGUCAUAAAAUGGCUGGAGGAAUGUAGCUUCGAUCUCGUAUUGAAGUGUUAUAGCCUUCGGUAGAUGUGAUAAUCGGGAUUGAGGAUUGCAACGGAUACCCUUCGGGGCUACCUGUCUGAUCUCUGAUCGUUGCUCUGGUGCCGAAAGCUUGCUUACGGUUAUCAAAGUCGAUGGUCAAUAGGUUAGAACGGGUUAAAUUCGUUAAGGAUGUUGACGUA
rnacentral:rRNA from 1 species